rnacentral:rRNA from 1 species
CACGUGGGAAUGUGCCUUUCGGUAGAGAACAACGCCUGGAAACGGGUGCUAAUACUCUAUACGCCCUUAGGGGGAAAGAUUUAUCGCCGAGAGAUUGGCCCGCGUUAGAUUAGCUAGUUGGUGAGGUAAUGGCUCACCAAGGCGACGAUCUAUAGCUGGUUUGAGAGGAUGAUCAGCCACACUGGGACUGAGACACGGCCCAGACUCCUACGGGAGGCAGCAGUGGGGAAUAUUGGACAAUGGGGGAAACCCUGAUCCAGCGAUGCCGCGUGAGUGAAGAAGGCCUUAGGGUUGUAAAAC